GAUGAACGCUAGCGAUAGGCUUAACACAUGCAAGUCGAGGGGUAACGUGUUGGAAGCUUGCUUCCGAUGACGACGACCGGCGGAUGGGUGCGUAACGCGUAUGCAACUUGCCUCACAGUGGAGAAUAACCCGAAGAAAUCCGGACUAAUACUCCAUACACUCUUAAGUACGCCUGUACAUGAGAGGAAAGAUUUAUCGCUGUGAGAUAGGCAUGCGUCCUAUUAGGUAGUUGGUGAGGUAACGGCUCACCAAGCCGACGAUAGGUAGGGGUGCUGAGAGGCAGAUCCCCCACAUUGGGACUGAGACACGGCCCAACCUCCGACGGGAGGCAGCAGUGAGGAAUAUUAGUCAAUGGAGGAAACUCUGAACCAGCCAAGUCGCGUGAAGGAAGAAUGUCCUAAGGAUUGUAAACUUCUUUAGCGAGCGAGUAAGGACUUCCACGUGAUGGGAGUUUGAAGGUAGCUCGAGAAUAAGUAUCGGCUAACUCCGUG
rnacentral:rRNA from 1 species